GGUUGUGGCUCAGUGGUAGAGUGCUUGCCUAGCACACCUGAGGUACUGGGUUCGAUCCCCAGAACCA
rnacentral:tRNA from 1 species